GCACACCUGCUGGAACUCUGACAGAUGAUUUAUUCCUGUUGGUCCUCUGGUUGAGACAUUUUGCAGGAUUGCAAACGGUGUGUGGUGAAACAACCUUUUCAAGCAGAAGCAACACAAACAAAAGACCCUUCUGUUUGAUGUGACCAUCAUGGAAAGUAACUCAGGAGAAGAUAUGAACUCUGUCCUAAGUCUUGAUGAAGGAAAUGAUUUAUAUUGUCGUUGUGAACCGUACAUUUUUGCACAUGUGCAGACCGACCCAAUGUCCACCAAUACACAAUUGUUCUCAAUGUUGGCACUGUUGAAUGCCUAUGUUCCCAAUUCCUACCUGAACAUGGAAGAGUGUCGAAAAAUCCUAGGACCGCCUGAUCCCAUCUAUGGAGGUCCUCCCUUUGAAGUUAGAAUGCAACCGUUUUCCGAGCUCAUCAGAGUAUCUGGCUCAGAGGUACGCCUGAUUCAUCCAGAUGUUGCUACAAGGUCUGUGGAGCUAUUGGCUGACCUAGGCAUUCCCAGAAGUGCCUUAGCACAGGACUGUGUGUUUCAGCUUUGUGGAGAAGAAGUCCAA